GGCCCGUAAACCGGGAAAGGGAAUAACACUCGAAAUGUAAAUAAGAAAUACUCAAGUUAAUAAAAGAAAAAAGAUAUACAUGAUUAGGCUCAUAAACUCAAGCUGAUGGACUACAGAGAAAUUGUGUCAAGCCUAACUUUUGUUUGUCUGGGAAGAAAGUUUGAUGGUGAAUAGCAAGAAAAAGAGAGAAGCUCGUGGGGCUACCCUCCCACUCCCAAGCUGUGAUGGAGGGAAGGGUUAGGAACCCUGACAGGAAGGCUAAGUGAACAGCAUUUCAGGAGAAAGAGCUGCCAUAGCCAGGCCAAUGGCUCAUCUGCCUUGAGAUGUGAAAGAUGGUGGAGGAAGUUCUGGCCAAGCGAGGCUCACCACACAAAGGGACGUAACCUAGCAAAGACAGAACUCCAGGCCAGGAAGGUAUGCUAUGACUUCUAUGGCCAAUUGGCAGGCAGUGCCAGGGCUUGGGUACUGAGGGGUGAUUGAGUCUUUUACUGUUAUAGAAAUGACAGUUGGAUUUUCCAUCUCAGUCUGAACAGAGGAACCAGGUAAUCUUUACCCCUGGUUACUAGUUCGCACAACUUAUUCCACUUAAAAUGGUAAUAUGUGGUAUAUUUUCAAAAAUUAAAGAAUUUUAAAUGUGGUUGCAGUGAAGAAGUGAUAACUGUUUGAGGAAACAGAUGUGUUCACCAAGACUUCAACUGAUACAAUGUUUCAGGCAUGGAGAUCCAAACUUCAACUGAUACAAUGUUUCGGGCAUGGAUAUACAAACAUCAACUGAUACAAAGUUUCAUGCGUGGACACCCAGACAUCAACUGAUACAAUGUUUCAGGCAUGGAUACCCAACCUUCAACUGAUACAAUGUUUCAGGCAUGAACACCAGACCUCAACUGAUACAAUGUUUCAGACAAGGAAGUACAAACUUCAACUGAUACAAUGUUUCAGACACAGAUAUAUAUAAGCUUCAACUGAUACAAUGUUUCAGGCAUGGAUAUCCAAACUUCAACUGAUACAAAGUUUCAUGCGUGGACACCCAGACAUCAACUGACACAAUGUUUCAUGCAUGCCUGCAUCAAAAUAUCAGAAGUCUCUGCUUUCAUUUAUCAGGUAGAAUAAGUUUAAAAUAUGGACGUUGCAGUUGGAUGUCAUUGGAUUUAUGUUUUGCAUGACAUAAGUCUUUCCAUACCCAUUGUAUAUUCAUGGAUUUGUGUUUACCACACUGAUACAAUGUCAGGCAUGGAUGUACAAACACCAACUGAUACAAAGUUUCAUGCGUGGACACCCAGACAUCAUUCUGUAUGUGCUGUACCUUUACACACAAUGUAGUUUUUGUUAUCUCACAGAAGGAGUCUCCUUAAGUUUGGACCCUUGUAGGAAAUUUUAUAGACCUGUCCUAGGUGUCCUUCUAGUGCCUUAGUGUGGUGGGUGUUAUGGUCCCUGUAGGGGUUCCAGUAAAGAUGUCCCUUCUAGGCUCCUGUAUUUGAAUACUUCGUCCCGGGUUGGGUGCUGUUAGAAGAGAUUUAGGAGGUGUACCUUUGCUGGAAGAAGUAUGUCACAGGGCGUGGACCUUCAGAACCAAAAAUCUAUUCUUUAUGUUCCUUCCUGUGCCUCAUGUUUAAAGUGGAGGCCGUGAAUCCUCCACACUCCUCUCUCACUGCUGUGCCAGCUCGUUGCUGCCAUGACUCCGCACCAGGAUGGACUCUUUUCCCCCUGGUCCAAAAUAAACCCUUUAUUCAAGUAAUUGCCUUGGUCCUGCUAUUUUAACACAACAGAAAAAUAACUAAUACCGUCCCUUUGUGCAAGGAGCUAUGCCCAGGCAGGCCAGCAUGGUAGUCACUAAGCUUCUGUGCUCAGUCACAGCACCUGUGAAUCAGUAGAGAAGGACAGGUGACUCCUAUUGGUCAGAGUGGUGAGACAUAGGCUCUGAAGUCCUCCUGUUCUAACAGUAAAGAUCUGUGAUUUCUGUCACCACUGUAAAGCUCUUGGUGGCUUCAUUGACUUUGAAAUCACUCCUGCAAUUCCUAUUUUCUAGAUAUUUUAUAUGUCUACUUAAAGACCUCAUUUAAUUAGAGAAAAAUCAAAAGGCCAAUCAAUUAUGGAAAUGAACACAUCUUACGGUACUACCAGGACAGAAAAUUAUGACCACCAAAGGCUGACUCAGUCCCAUGUGGAACCAACAUUUCUCCUCAAAUUCUAAACGCACUUGGCACCCUCUCGGGGUGUUCCCUAAGACCAAGAAAAUUGCCUGCUCUCAAUUCUCUGAAAAUGAAGGCUCUUCCCUAAUGAGCUGAGAAAUACCUUCAUUAGUGCUUCUCGAUCUGCCUCUGCUUGGCUCGGAAUUCAGCGGUGUAAUUCCACGGAUGCUCUUUCUCAUCGUCUGAAUACAGGCACGCCGGAAUCCGAUUCUCAUUUCUCCACAGAUGUUCUGAUGGCAGAGUGAAUGUGAACAGUAACAAACAGCACCGCUGAUGUAAUAAGCAGACCUGAGGAAGAGAGUAUCCCAAGGGGGGCAUAGUACCUGACUCUAAGUAUAGCAUGUGUGACCUCAACUAAACCAGUACAGCAUUGGUAUGGGAUCAUACAUAGGCACUAGGAUGGAGAACCCAGGAAGAAAACCCACAUGGCGGCACCUCUUGGAUUCUUAGCAAAGGUGCCAUGAACCUAUGUUGGAAUUUAGGGAGUCUCUGUAGCAGGCGGUGUGGAAGGCUGGAGAAAAGUGUUGAAUAUCUUCAUUUGUCAGGAAAACACAAAUAAAAAAACCUUUAAUAUUAAUAGCAUUGAUAUUUAAUGGUCCCUUGAGUCAAAAUGGGGGCUAUCAUGAAAAACAAACAAACAAAUAAAAAAUAAAAACCAGUAACAACAAGUACUGGUGAGGAUUUGGACUGGAAAGAACUCCUGUGUCAGUAAGAAUGUAUACUAGCACAGGCUCGAAAAGCAGAACUGGGAGAAGUAGAAGUUAGAAGCCAUAUGACUCAGCUACCACCCAUAUAUUCACACUGUAAGUCAGAGGACUAGACAUUCUACCCCAUUCGUCGUCGUCGUCAUGGUGGGUGGAUUCACAAGUCACAUGCUGGACUCUUCACAAGAGCCCUAUCAUGGGGUCUGUGUAGGUGUCCACGGAACUGAGGGAGGGGCAAGAAAAAGUACGAAGCACAUACUCAUUUGAUAAUUAUGCGGUCCUCUAGAAAAAUAAAAUCAAGAAAAUAAAAAUAAAAGCAAGAAAAAGGGUAGACUUCGUUGACAUGUUAUGGGAGGCAAGCCAGACUCAGGAAGACAAGUGUUAUAUGUGUUCUUUCAUAUGUGGAACAUAUGACGUAAAUGAAUAAAAGCAGAGGAAGGGUCAGGAAGAGAAAGGAGAGAGAGACAGGGCAGAAACAGGUGGAGAUGAUCAAACGAUGCUGUAUGCAUGCAUGCAAAUGCCCCAAUGAAAUGGUGGUGAUGUAUUCAGUCUAGUGGAGAGGCUGGGGUUGUAGAUCAAUGGGUAGAGCAUUGUGUGAAGGCCCAGGUUUAUCCCAGCACCGCAUAAACCAGGUGUGAUGGCACAUGCCUGCAAUAUUAGCAGUAGGUGAAGGGAGGGAGUUCAAAAGUUUAAGGCCAUCCUUAGCUAUAUGGUACGUUGGAGGCUAGCCUAGUCUACACGAGACUCUAAGGGAAAAAUAAAAUCAACUGAAUGAAGGAUUGGAUGAGGGCUCCCAUGAGGAGGCCUGCGAGGAUAAGUCCAUAGAGCCUGGGAUUUUACAGGCUUCAGGUUUUGCAGAAUCACAUUUUAAAGACUUGUUCAAAAGAGAACCCCCUCCCCUGAUCUUGUGUUAAUAUCUUCAUUGGUACCUAGUGCAGAUUAUAACAAUUUAGGAAUGUGUCUUGAGGGCUACAGACAGAGAGACAUGUUUGAGUGAUUUCUCUAAAAUUACUCCUUUAUCGGAGCUUUAUGAUCUCUCUGGGAAGAGAGGGUUUAUGAUGUUGGCUUACUGUGCUUGCUUUGGCUGUUUGAUACGGACAGAAUGGGUUUCCACACAGCAUUUAAUGAGCCCCUUUAUUUUAAGGGCCCAUUUAUCCAACGGUGUUAUCCUUAAAAUAUAUUUUCAUUUUAAGGUGUGUGUGUGUGUGUGUGUGUGUGUGUGUGUGUGUGUGGAAUGAAAGCUCUCUUUGAACUGGUGGUCCUGACAGUUGUGAACUGGCUGGCAUGGUUGCUGGGAACCAAACUCAGAUACCUUGUAAGAGCAAAAGGCACUUUAACCACUGAGCCACCACUUUCUCCUCCUCCUCUUCUUCCUCCUCUUCUCCUCUCCCUCCUCCUCCCACAUCUGGGUCCCCACCUCCCCUGCUUUGGAGGGAUACUGAAUGUGGCCUUGGAGACACACGGGCACUUGCCCUAUUUUGAGAUGACUGGAAGAUUGUUUACCUGGGGCUAAUGCUGUUGCCCUGGUGACCUUCCUUACCUGUCACCUGCCGAUUUCUAUCCCAUAAUAAUUUUAAUAUUAAAGUAUAUAAAUUUAGUAUUUUAAAUGCUUAUUAUAUUACCUUACUAUGAAAUGAAUAUUUUUUAUUAUUACUAAGUAGUCAAGCUGCAUUGUGAACUGUGAUCGUUGGGAUAUGGUUCUGUGUGGGCCUCUAGAAUGCCCGCACAUUCACAGCUCACGUACUGACAGAGUUUUCUCCUAAAUUAUUUCAUCAGAUACUAGGGCUAGCUAUGAGAAAUAGAGAGCGCCCACUUCUGUUGUGUAGGGUGGGUUUAACUCAGGUGCGGUGGAGAUCAUGCCUUUCACUAAAGCCGAGAUAAAUGGGCCGACUGAACUCAUGGAAUAUUUGGGGCACUGGAGUGUGGGGCUGUAAACCCAAGUGCACUGGCACACACUGGCCCUCUAUGCAUCAUCCUGUGGGAAUCAUGGCUCGAGGAGCCAGGAGGACACUGACGUCCCCGAUACUGCUCUGCCUUGAAGGGUGAUGACAAGCUCUGUCUGAGCAGGAUGUCUCUGCCUCCAGCUGGCUUCUGUGAGCUCAGGUGGAAUCCCUUCUCCUCAGAAUCCUCGCUAGCGACUUAUAAAAUGAAGCAUUUCUGGGUAUAAUGAAUUAGGGUAAAAAUUACCCACAGUUGACAUUUCUAUAUAGAAGUGCAUUUUAAUAAGCAAGAACUAGCAGGUUGCCCUACGACAGCGUCAGGUUUGCCUUCCCAACCUGUAACGGCUGCUCUGCGCGCACUGCAUAAAUGCCAUGUUAUUGUAACGAGCUGGUGCGGUAAUUCCACGAACCCGCAGCAGAGGAGGGAAGCAAGAGUUUCCUGUUUCUGUUCUAGCCUGGCUUCCCAGUAAGUAAAAUUACACAUGGGUUUGUGCUGAUGCAUCUCGGCUCAUUCUGUACAUAACAUAUGAGGUGUGUAUAUAUGGUCUGCAUUAUAUCACCACAUUUCAUUAUCAUCACGACUGUCCUCCUUUUAAAAGUCCCGUAAGUACCCAGAACACGGAACCACGGCAGAGUCUUAUGGGGUCACGUGACAAGGGGCUGUUAGGGCAGCACGGUGUGUUUCAGCGGUCAGCCACUAGGAGGCAGAGCGGCUGACACAAACUGUCUUGGACGAAACAUAGCCAAUUAGUGGGAGUAGGCGAUUCCAUUUGUGAGAGAAAAUAGAUGAUACUUGUUUUCUGAGUCUGCUUUUGUACUUCCCACCAUUUUCCCGGGAAAGUUACAGUGAGAUGAACAGCUGUGUUCUACUCAGGACUCCUGCCUUGACGCUAUGCCCCUCGUAGACCCAAAACCAUGGUGCCAACCACUCUCUGAAACUUGCUUCCAUUACUGGCUCAAGAUUCCUCCGGCCCACCGUGGCACCCGUGUCGUGGCAUGCAGUGACAAUGAGCUCAGGGUGCCAAAGUAGACGUGUGCAGAGCAACGGAAAGACUACACAGGGACACUUCACCGGAAUGUAGCAACAGGCUAAUGGCAUCUUCAACUUCACGUGACCUGCGUUUGGAACAUCAGAAUUAAGCAUCCAUAUUGACUCUGCCUUUCUUGUGAAAACAAUUAAACAGUGUGUGCUAGGCAGAGAGUCAUCUCAGGGAUUAAAA